AGUGAACGCUGGCGGUAGGCCUAACACAUGCAAGUCGAACGGCAGCACAGUAAGAGCUUGCUCUUACGGGUGGCGAGUGGCGGACGGGUGAGGAAUACAUCGGAAUCUACUUUUUCGUGGGGGAUAACGUAGGGAAACUUACGCUAAUACCGCAUACGACCUACGGGUGAAAGCAGGGGAUCUUCGGACCUUGCGCGAUUGAAUGAGCCGAUGUCGGAUUAGCUAGUUGGCGGGGUAAAGGCCCACCAAGGCGACGAUCCGUAGCUGGUCUGAGAGGAUGAUCAGCCACACUGGAACUGAGACACGGUCAAGAUUCCUACGGGAGGCAGCAGUGGGGAAUAUUGGACAAUGGGCGCAAGCCUGAUCCAGCCAUACCGCGUGGGUGAAGAAGGCCUUCGGGUUGUAAAGCCCUUUUGUUGGGAAAGAAAAGCAGCAGGUUAAUACCACGCUGUUCUGACGGUACCCAAAGAAUAAGCACCGGCUAACUUCGUG
rnacentral:rRNA from 1 species